rnacentral:rRNA from 1 species
AUUGAACGCUGGCGGCAGGCCUAACACAUGCAAGUCGAACGAGUGGCGGACGGGUGAGUAAUGUCUGGGAAACUGCCUGAUGGCGGGGGAUAACUACUGGAAACGGUAGCUAAUACCGCAUACCAUCGGAUGUGCCCAGAUGGGAUUAGCGAGUAGGUGGGGUAAAGGCUCACCUAGGCGCCGAUCCCUAGCUGGGCUGAGAGGAUGACCAGCCACCCUGGAACUGAGACACGGUCCGGACUGCUACGGUAGGAAGCAGUGGGGAAUAUUGCACAAGGGGCGCAAGCCUGAUGCAGCCAUGCCGCGGGUAUGAAGAAGGCCUUCGGGUUUGAAAGUACUUUCAGCGGGGAGGCGUGACCCGCAGAAGAAGCACCGGCUAACUCCGUGCCAGCAGCCGCGGUAAUAC